rnacentral:rRNA from 1 species
UACGAAGGGGGCUAGCGUUGUUCGGAUUUACUGGGCGUAAAGCGCACGUAGGCGGAUCGAUCAGUCAGGGGUGAAAUCCCAGAGCUCAACUCUGGAACUGCCUUUGAUACUGUCGAUCUGGAGUAUGGAAGAGGUGAGUGGAAUUCCGAGUGUAGAGGUGAAAUUCGUAGAUAUUCGCAAGAACACCAGUGGCGAAGGCGGCCCACUGGCCCGAUACUGACGCUGAGGCACGAAAGCGUGGGGAGCAAACAGG